UACAACCGAUCCCAUGUACUCAAUAAGUAUCAUAACUAACAAGUAUAGAACAAAUAUAUGAUCAAAUCAGGAAAUCUCAGGUAAAAACACCUAAGAUUUUUUUGAAUAGUGUAUGUACGUAGGCUACAUGUGAAUUCUUGUCAUGUAAACUUUUUGCUUUUGUCUUUAUUCAUUUUUCUUGACACACCUUUUUGCAACAACCCACGUGAACAUACCAAUUUCAUAGAAAAUGUUUUCUGACUUGGUAGCUUUCAAUGGCUUAUAUAAUUUUUUUUUCGAUGUAUUUUUUUCCACUUCAAGUUGCAGAAUAAGUCAAUGCCAACUCUUUUUUGCUUUAUGUCAUUUUCAGCAAGUACAAUAUAAAGUUGCUUUUGUAUCGUCACAUAAAGUGAUUUACUUUGAUGACAUCAUGUGAAAAGGUCUUGAAUUUUGUGUCUUUUAUCAUGUGCCUUAUCAUCAACCCAUUAAUUUUGACAAUAUUUUAGUCACAAACUCUAUCUUGAAAGAAAAAAGCCAGCAGAAAUUUCUAUGUAAAUGUCAUUCAUGAUAUCUUUUUCUCCUGACAUGAUUUUGAUGUUUGGAUUUGAAUCUUCUCUUCUUUUUAUGCUUAAGAGAAAAAGUUUAUGCCUUCUUGAGAAUAUACAUCUUUAAAAUGUGAUUCAGUAGAUGAUAGACCAUUUUUAAAGGCAUUUCUCUUGGGAACAUGUGAUGUAAAUAAAUUUUUAGUGUGAUACUUCACCUUUAUUUACAUCAAGUAACAGAACUUCAUGAUAACUUUAAUAUCCUUUUAUCAUUUUUUUGUGCACACUUCAAAAUUCUCAUUACAUGACCAAGAAUUUUUUUCGCUGGACUUGAAUUGCGUCUUUUUUUCUCCAUUGAGUAUUUGUUUGGCUUUAAUAUUCUCAUAGUAUUUUAAAAACCAAUUUGACAUGUCUUUGGGAAUUUCUUGAGUUCCUCCUUAAACGUUUAAAAUCAAUUAGAGCAUGUAAAUAUUUUUUCUCUUUUUCUCUUUUUAUACUCCGACAGGUUUAUGUACUUCUUUUCGGUAAUAUUUUUUAAUUAUUUGAUUUGAAUUGGUGCAAACUACAUCUAUCAAUCACCAAACAAACCAAUUAAUUUACUAGACUUUUGGUUUGUUGCAGGCAACAAGAAUAGAAUAUAGUUUCAGGAACUAAGGAGACUUGAGUUGUUUAGACUUUUUAACCAGUAACUCAUCUCCUUCACAAUCUUUGAAAUUAUUCUAUAUUUUUCUUCUUCUUUUUUCCCCGGAGUUUUGAUAAAGCAACAAUAUGAAGUGCUUAAAAUUUACCCCGUGUCAAGUAGAAGAUUUUCUUUUUCGGCGAAGGCGAUUACAUCGUCUAAACCAAAACUUUACUUUAUAUGAGGCGAAGACCAUUACACCAUCUGAGCCAAAACUUUUACUUUGUCUGAAGCGAAAACCAUUACACCGUCUAAGCUAAAGACUUUAUUUUGUCUGAAGCGAAGACCCUUACACUGUGUGAGUUGAAGAUUUCAUUUUGUUUGAUGAUUUGACUUUACUUUAUCUGAAGCGAAGGCCAUUACACCGUUUGAGAUAAAUACUUUAUUUUUGUCUGAAGCAAAAACCAUUAUACCGUCUAAGCUAAAAACUUUAUUUUGUUUGAAAUUUGUCUUUACUUUAUCUGAAGCAUAGACCAUUACACCGUCUAAGCCAUAGAUUUUACUUUAUCUGAGGCAAAGAUCAUUACACCGUUUAAGUCAAAGAUUUUGCCUUUUCAUGCUUGGUAGGAUUAGUCUCGAGAUAGGACAUAUUAUAUUAUGGAUUUAAGAUCAUAAAUAUUACCUUUCUAAGUUAAGUGGUAACGAACACAUUUCUCUCUUUUUGUAGUCUAAACAUGGUUUACUUCAAAGACUCAAGACUUUCUUCCUCCAAUUCACAAUACCUUGUUAUUUCAGACCAUAAAGGGGAGCAAGGUUGAGACGAGGUUAUUAGUUGAUAGGCCACUAGUCGGCCAAUAUGCUACAAUUUCGUAGGUACCUUUGAAGGAUGCACCUUAUUUGGCAGACCGGACACUUGAAUACAAUAGUCGUCCUCCCAAGACGUGGAUGGUUUGCACCCCUAAUCAUCAUGCUUGUAAUGUCGCGAGUACCUUGCCAUGUCUGGGGUGAAUUAUUAACAAGGAAACAUUUUGGGUUGAUGAUUUACCGUUUGGCGGGGAAUGUCAUUACGUUCCUGGCUGCUGGGAAUGGGCAGAAGAUGUCUUAUAUAGGUGUCGUCUAACCCUGGAGGGCUUAUGACGCUGUAUAUGCUUCACUCUUCACAUAUGACCGUAAUACAAAUAUCAUGCAGGCCUUCUGUGAGGCAUGGUGCCCUGUUACAAAUACGUUGCUUACCUCUGCUGGAGAACUAUCCAUAUCACUUUGGGAUUUAUGAAAGGUCGGUGAUCUGCCUAUAGCAGAAUCUCCUUACGAGAAAGUUAUGCCAAAUGUUGAAGAACUUACAUACACGUAUGUCGAGGGGAGAAGGUUUCUUCCCCAGAUUUAUGAGCAUUUGUUUGAUGCCUUCCAUCGGCUCCGAGAGGGAACUGGCAAUGACCCAAAGGUUUUUGUGAAAAAAUGGGUAGAGUUUUGGUGCAGAAAGACAAUGAAGUACACUCAACCUCCAUUAAGGAGAGAAAAGAAGUGUGCUCGUUUGAAAUCGACGCACAAUCCUACUGAGGUCAUGCAGUUAAUUGGUUGACUGUUAAAGAAGCCUUAUUCUAUAAGCUAGGAGUUAUAGGUAGCAAGAAAGACGAGACAUACGUGGCCGCUUUUCUAUCUUGUUGGUUAUGUAUUUUUGUGCUCCCUUCAAUAGAAGGCGUCUUCAUUUGUCCUGGGACCUUUAAGAUUGCAUGUCUUCUGGCGUGUAAACGACGAUUUAGACUCGCGAUCCCGGUCUUAGCUAGCAUGUAUAAGGAUUUAAACGCGAUUUCAAAGUGCCUGUUGCUUGAUCUUUGCUAAGCUUACUUUCCAGCCCAUUAUGUGUAUGGUUGGUUAGUCCAUUACUUUAAGACUCAUUUCCCGUAUGCAAAGGGGCCAAUUGUUCCUCUUAUGGCCGCAUGUUCUAGUGAAGGUGUUGCUAGAUAUUUCGGAAAAGAGGAAGCAAGGAAGCGUAUCCAUAAUGGAGAAAAUAUCAAUUGGACUUCGACGAUGCCCCGCAGAUCUGAUCCGUCCUACUACUAUGAUGAUGGUAAGGCAGACGAGUUCGAGUUAAAUUUCUUUAUGAGUAUUCGCUCGAAUUAUCUUCCUUUGAGGGAUGGAGUCGACUUUAUUAUUAAACCUUAUAGCUCUCACCGAUUUAGCCGCCAAUUUGGUUUUUAUCAAGAUACCCUUGGUCGCUUGAAGCGGGAUUUUCGUAAGGCCUCAUUAGAAGAAGGGUUAAGACUUGCACGAAUUUGUGUGUUGAUUAGAUCCAAGUCAAGGGCAGUAUUUCCUCCUUUUGGGUCCAACAUGAAGAAGUUUACAUCGUCUAGCUAUAAAUAUUGGUGGGCAAGGGCGCAUUGAAGCUUUCUUGAAGACCACUUACAAUUUUUGAUGAAUACUGUUGAGCCAAUCACAAAUACUCUUCAAGAGCGCAACAAGGAUGUCCUAGUGAUUGAUAAGCUUCCUGUUUUAAAGUCUAAGGUAGUUGAGACGCGCACCGGCAAUGAACCUCAGCUACACAAAGAAGUUCAAAGAGAAAAGAUCCAUGCUCCAGUUGACAAAAGUCUCAUUCCAUUAGAUGUAGUUGUUGAUGCCUCUAACGAGCGACUAUCCUAAGAGGAGAGUGAUAGCAGCAAAGGAGAUCAAUAUUGGAAAAAGAAAAGACCUAACCCAUGAGUUGUAGAGGUCCAGAGCUAACACUACCAGCUUAUAAUGAGAAGCCAAAUAACAUUUGAGCGUUGCAACGAGGAAGGCCACAAGAUAAUGGUGAGUCUAUAGCAGGACCGGACCCGCAUAAAUCAUCUUCCACAGCUAAGGCAGAUCAAGAUGCAACUUCUAUUUCUCGUGAUGGAAUUAGGGCAAAGUUGGGCUCUGAUUUACGUGAACAACCAACAAUUUCAACGUCCAUUUUUUAUGGAAAGAAGGUUGUCUUGGAUAUUCGAAAUGAGUUUAUCUUGAAGCUUUGGACUUCGAUCCAACGUAGGUUGAAAGGUAGUGAUGCAGACAAGGUCUCUGAGCUAGAAGAGAAUACUAAAGUGAUCCUUGAGGCAAUGGAUGUGGAUGAUAUGGAUAUUUUCCCUUUGAGAAACUUACUGGAGUCCCUUUUUGAGUUUGCUGCUUCAUAUGACAAGACACGAUCUGCUUUAUCUGAGAAAGGUUGAGGAGACUGCAAUAUCAGAAGUUGAGGUACACCUUAAAAAUGCCUUGAUUGAAGAAGAAGAGAAGGCUAGAGAAGUGUCAUCUAUCCGUUAGUCCCUAGUUACAGUAAAAAAGAAGAUAGAGAAGCUCCAUGAAAAAGAGAACAACUUAGAAGCCCUUCUAGAAGUUGCUGAGAAAGAAGUUGAAGAAGCCAAGUUAGGAGCCUCAACUCCUAGAAAGGAGUAUGACGCAUGCUGCAAUGUUGCCUUGUUGACUGCUGAUGACUUGGCCGAUUUGGAGAAGAAAAAGAAAUACUUGGAAGCUAUGCUCAAGGAUUUGGCCAACUACAAGCUGUGUUUAGAUUAGGCUAUAAACACUGUUUUAUUUGUUUUUCCCUUUCUUCUUGCAUUUGAUUGUUUGGUAUAUGUUCUCAUCAACAAUAAAACUUCUUUCGUUUCACUUUA